rnacentral:rRNA from 1 species
GGACCGACCCUUCGGGAGCUUGAACAGGUGCUGCAUGGCUGUCGUCAGCUCGUGUCGUGAGAUGUUCGGUUAAGUCCGCUAACGAGCGCAACCCUCGCUGUGUGUUACAAGUGUCACACGGAACUGCCGGUCAUAAACCGGAGGAAGGUGGGGAUGACGUCAAGUCAGCAUGGCCUUUAUAGUCCUGGGCUACACACACGCUACAAUGGGAAGGGACAAUAGGUUGCGAAACCGCGAGGUGGAGCCAAUCCAAGCAAAACUUCCCUCAGUUCAGAUUGCAGGCUGCAACUCGCCUGCAUGAAGUUGGAGUUGCUAGUAAACGCAGGUCAGCCAUACUGCGUUGAAUACGUUCCCGGGGCUU